rnacentral:lncRNA from 1 species
UUGCCCCUGGAAUCGGGCACGAAAGACAAGACUUUCUUGAGCACGAGGUCACCUUCUCGGAACACACGAGGCUUGACCUUUUAGUCGAAUGCUUUCGUCACUCUCUGCUGAUAUGACUGUCCAUGACACAUGGCAGUUGAUCUCUUCCUUUCGAUCGGAUUCACUCGGUCGUAGUGACUCUGAAUCCAUUCAGCAUCAGUCAACUUGGGACUUUGAGGGUGCUAUUUUUCUUUUGUUUCUUUCUUUCUUUUUCUUUCUUUUGAUUUGGAUUUCUUUUGAUUUUGCACCCUCCUCUUUUUUUUUUCUCUUUUUUUUUUGAUAAUGCCCCAGUUGGCUGUUCUGCUGAUUCUCGAGAUGCAGCUGAGUGAUCUUCUUUUCUUGCUCAAGAAGUCGGGAAAUCUCGUCAGGAAUCCCUUCAUCAUCAUCUUCGUCCGCUUCAAAUACAGGGAAUUCAAAAUUGGGAGAUGACGUCCGAUCAUUAUGUUCAAUGGGUUUGAGAAACAACCUGCAUAAAGAUUUUGAGUAUAAAAGCACUCUGAAAAUCAAACAAGACAAUC